rnacentral:tRNA from 1 species
GGUGGCUCAGUGGUAGAGUGCUUGUCUUACAUGCAUGAAGCCCUGGGUUCGAUUCCUCAGUACCA